ACUCCACGUAAAAUUGAAGCGUUGCAAAGCUUGGAAUUGCCGGAAAAUAGUAACGAUACCACUCCACGUAAAAUUGAAGCGUUGCAAAGCUUGGAAAUGCCGGAAAAUAGUAACGAUACCACACCACGUAAAAUUGAAGCGUUGCAAAGGUUGGAUUUGCUGAAAAAUAAUAAUGCUUACAUUAUUAGAGAGGAGAUACAUCGUAUCAUGGAAGAAG